CAGUAGCCGCGGAAUACGAAGGGGGCUAGCGUUGCUCGGAAUUACUGGGCGUAAAGGGAGCGUAGGCGGACAUUUAAGUCAGGGGUGAAAUCCCAGAGCUCAACUCUGGAACUGCCUUUGAUACUGGGUGUCUUGAGUGUGAUAGAGGUAUGUGGAACUCCGAGUGUAGAGGUGAAAUUCGUAGAUAUUCGGAAGAACACCAGUGGCGAAGGCGACAUACUGGAUCAUUACUGACGCUGAGGCUCGAAAGCGUGGGGAGCAAACAGGAUUAGAUACCCCCGUAGUCCCUGUCUCUUAUACA
rnacentral:rRNA from 1 species